rnacentral:rRNA from 1 species
UACAGAGGUCUCAAGCGUUGUUCGGAUUCAUUGGGCGUAAAGGGUGCGUAGGUGGCGCCAUAAGUCAGGUGUGAAAUCUCGGGGCUCAACCCCGAAACUGCACUUGAUACUGUGGUGCUCGAGUACUGGAGAGGAGAUUGGAAUUUACGGUGUAGCAGUGAAAUGCGUAGAUAUCGGGAGGAACACCUGUGGCGAAAGCGGCGCACUGGACCACAACUGACGCUGAGGCGCGAAAGCUAGGGGAGCAAACAGG